rnacentral:lncRNA from 1 species
GAAAACUAGAAAUAAUAAAAAUUACAUCCAGAUUCGAAGACCAUCUAUCGACGACUACAAGCACCGAAGCGACCCGAAGACGCGCUGCUGUCAUUGCCCCUCCCUCGUUGGAGCCGGGCAACUGUUGUUGUAGUAGACAGUAGGAAAGUCGUCGUGCUAAGGCCUCAUGGGACCAACACACCAGAACAGCAACCGUCACAGAUGAAGAGUGUAGAUUGGAAUUAUCCAAUCUAAAAACACACGAACAAAGACGAACUACGAACAGAUCCACCAAAGAUAGAUCCGUCGGAGACAUACCUCCACACGCCCACCAAUGAUGCUAGACACAUCACCGGAACGGGGGCUGGGCGGGGAGACAUUUAUUCCUUCUUCAGGGAGCCGCUACCGUCUUGCCUUCUUG